rnacentral:rRNA from 1 species
AUUGAACGCUGGCGGCAGGCCUAACACAUGCAAGUCGAGCGGGGUUUUCGGACCUAGCGGCGGACGGGUGAGUAAUGCGUAGGAAGCUGCCCGAUAGAGGGGGAUACCAGUUGGAAACGACUGUUAAUACCGCAUAAUGUCUACGGACCAAAGUGUGGGACCUUCGGGCCACAUGCUAUCGGAUGCGCCUACGUGGGAUUAGCUAGUUGGUGUGGUAAUGGCUCACCAAGGCGACGAUCUCUAGCUGGUUUGAGAGGAUGAUCAGCCACACUGGAACUGAGACACGGUCCAGACUCCUACGGGAGGCAGCAGUGGGGAAUAUUGGACAAUGGGCGCAAGCCUGAUCCAGCCAUGCCGCGUGUGUGAAGAAGGCCUUCGGGUUGUAAAGCACUUUCAGCGAGGAGGAAGGGUGGUGUGUUAACAGCACAUCAUUUUGACGUUACUCGCAGAAGAAGCACCGGCUAACUCUGUGCCAGCAGCCGCCGUAAGAC